AUGGAAGUGAUGACAAUUCAACUUUUUUGAUGCAGCAAGAAUGAUUGUUGCUUGUAUUCGUACUGUCUGAUCCAA